rnacentral:rRNA from 1 species
CCUACGGGGGACUGCAGUGGGGAAUAUUGGGCAAUGGAGGAAACUCUGACCCAGCAACGCCGCGUGAAUGAUGAAGGUCUUCGGAUUGUAAAGUUCUUUUCUAAGGGAAGAAGAAAGUGACGGUACCGUAGGAAUAAGCCUCGGCUAACUACGUGCCAGCAGCCGCGGUAAGACGUAGGAGGCAUGCGUUAGCCGGAAUGACUGGGCGUAAAGGGUGCGUAGGUGGUUCAGCAAGUUAGUAGCGUAAUUCCGGAGCUCAACUUCGGCACUACUACUAAAACGGUUGGACUUGAGUGCAGGAGGGGCAACUGGAAUUUCUAUUGUAGCGGUGUAAUGCGUAGAUAUUAG